UACGGGGGGGGCAAGCGUUGUUCGGAAUUACUGGGCGUAAAGGGUUCGUAGGUGGCCCGCUAAGUCACACGUGAAAUCCCUCAGCUUAACUGGGGAACUGCGUGUGAGACUGGCGGGCUUGAGUGCAGGAGAGGAACGCGGAAUUCCAGGUGUAGCGGUGAAAUGCGUAGAUAUCUGGAGGAACACCGGUGGCGAAGGCGACAUCCUGGACCGGUAUUGACGCUGAGGCGCGAAAGCCAGGGGAGCAAACGGG
rnacentral:rRNA from 1 species